GAUGAACGCUGACAGAAUGCUUAACACAUGCCAGUCUUUGGCGAAGCUGUGCUUGCACCGCCUAGCCAAGGCGGACGGGUGAGUAACGCGUAAGGAACUUGCCCUGCAGUCAGGGAUAACAGACGGAAACGACUGAUAAGACCUGGUAAAGUCAGGCGGACUCAUGUCCAGCCUGAUGAAAAGAGAUGCUGCAGGAGAGCCUUGCGUCCUAUUAGCUUGUUGGUGGGGUAACGGCCCACCAAGGCGAUGAUAGGUAGCCGGCCUGAGAGGGUGGACGGCCACAAGGGGACUGAGAUACGGCCCUUACUCCUACGGGAGGCAGCAGUGGGGAAUAUUGGACAAUGGGGGCAACCCUGAUCCAGCAAUUCUGUGUGCACGAUGAAGGUUUUCGGAUUGUAAAGUGCUUUCAGCAGGGAAGAAAAAAUGACGGUACCUGCAGAAGAAGCGACGGCUAAAUACGUG
rnacentral:rRNA from 1 species